rnacentral:rRNA from 1 species
UACAGAGGUCUCGAGCGUUAGGCGGAAUCACUGGGCUUAAAGCGUGUGUAGGCGGAUGGGUAAGUACCUUGUGAAAUCCCACGGCUCAACCGUGGAACUGCUCGGUAUACUGCUCGUCUUGAGCCAACUAGGGGCGACCGGAACAAACGGUGGAGCGGUGAAAUGCGUAGAUAUCGUUUGGAACGCCGAUGGUGAAAACAGGUCGCUGGGGUUGUGCUGACGCUGAGACACGAAAGCCAGGGGAGCGAACAGG